rnacentral:rRNA from 1 species
GACGAACGCUGGCGGCGUGCUUAACACAUGCAAGUCGUACGGUAAGGCCCUUUCGGGGGUCCACGAGUGGCGAACGGGUGAGUAACACGUGAGUAACCUGCCCACAACUUUGGGAUAACGCUAGGAAACUGGUGCUAAUACUGGAUAUGUGCUCCUGCUGCAUGGUGGGGGUUGGAAAGCUCCGGCGGUUGUGGAUGGACUCGCGGCCUAUCAGCUUGUUGGUGGGGUAGUGGCCUACCAAGGCGGCGACGGGUAGCCGGCCUGAGAGGGUGACCGGCCACAUUGGGGCUGAGAUACGGCCCAGACUCCUACGGGAGGCAGCAGUGGGGAAUAUUGCACAAUGGGCGCAAGCCUGAUGCAGCAACGCCGCGGGCGGGAGGACGGCCUUCGGGUUGUAAACCGCUUUCAGCAGGGACGAAGCUUUUUGUGACGGUACCUGCAGAAGAAGCACCGGCUAACUACGUG